GCCGCCCCUCCACGGAGCCAAGCUCGCGUGCCGCCCCCCUCCCACCGCGCCGAGCUCGCAAGCCACCGCCGCCGGCGACCCCAACCGGCCGCCCCUCGUCAGUUCGUGUGUUCCAUCCGCACCAAAAUCGCCGUCCACCGCUUCCCGGGGAUCCCUGUGCGCCGCCGCCCACCAGAACGAUGCUUCCAGCAUUCGUGUUCUCCAAAAGUCAACACGACAUAGCUGCUUCCUCCGGCAACACCUCCUACCGGCGCCGGCGGUCAGAUCCCCAAAGCUCCCCUUCCCUCUCGAUCUCACUUCCCUGCUGCUGGAAAUUUAGUGGUUCAACUUCCUCUAAAAUUUCUGAGGUUACCUUGUUAGUAGUUCACCUUUGCUAAAUUCUGUAGUCCACCAUUGCUAAAAAUCAUCUUAUGAUUUUUGGACAAUGUUUUGUGCGAUUCAUUUGUUCAUCUUCAGAACUUGGAGAUAUUAAGUCUAUUUUUUUCUAUGAUGAAGGUACAAAUGAGCUCCAUCUUCAAUGGUUAUCCCCCUAGUGCUUCAAAGAUGCCUAUUUUGUUUUCCCCAUGGCGCAGCGAGGAUGAUAGUGUUGACACUUACAAAAUUGUUUUCUGUGUUGCUAUGUUGUCAGUCCAAAGUGUGGUGAAGAUGCAGCCCUGGGUGUGUAGAUGAUGCGGUGUGUGUCUGGUUGUGUGUGUGUGCAUGAUGAUUGGUAGCUGUUGUGUGUGUGCAGUGUACGUCUGAUGAUAGCGAGUAGGCGGCAAGUGUACUAGUGAGCAGCUACUGAACUGAUUCUAACACUGCAACAUUAAUCCACUCUGCCUCCUCCGAUGAGUUCUUCAGUCCAAGUUCUCCCACGAUUCCGUCUCUGGUUUUGUUUCCCUUAACAUUGGUAAGAUAAAAGAUCAUUCAACUUCAAAUCUGUUUGGACUGAUAGUUCAACUUCUUUCGUACAAAAGGUUCAAAAAGUUUUGUACCUGAAAAUGCACAUAUUUGGAGUGCGUGAAUAUAUUUAGACUUCUACAAACCCCAAAACUAUGCAGAGUUAGGAUUGUUACUACCUUGUUUCUUACUAUCGAUUCAUUUUUUAUGAGAAGGUAUUAAGUUGGUACAUGUAGUUGGACAUCUCAAUAUACUGUAAUGUGUUUUUUUGCAUAGUACCUUGAAAUUAUGUUAGCAAUUCUGAAUUACGAUUGUGCUUGAAACUGAAAAUGAUUCUGUAACUUCUCAAACCUCGUGGACUUGAUGCUUAAAAUACUUCCAGAACGAAUUGAUUCUUGUUCUUUCAUGAUCAGUUCAGCAAAUAAUUUUUUAGUUCAUUCCAAUUUCAAAUUCUCAUUUUAGUUUAGUCAAAGUUUCUUAUUUUUGUUCAGUACAGUAUCCAAGUUUAUUUAAGUUCAAUUCUUAUUUUAGUUUUAGUUCAUUUCAAUUCUUAUUUUAGUAAAUCUGUAGUCUAUGGAUUUUAUUUGGCCUAGAUUGCUAGAUGUACUAACUUGUUGUGCCAAGGCAAUCUAAAACAUUAAGUGUUGCUACUAUAAUUCGUUCAUUGUUUCACGCCUCCCCGCAGACGCGCGCCCCCACCUCCCCGCCGACGCCUACAAAUUAGAGUUCACUAAAAAAUGUGCUUGAAAUUUCAAUUUUUACGAACCAAAUAAUUUCUUAUUUACAGAUCUAAAUCGUGCGACUUCUCCAACUAGCUUAUGUUGUUUCUGACAUUGCUCUAAACCAUUUCUCAGUAAUAUUUUGUACGUAGCAAUGGACUUGGAAGGAUUUCAGUCCAUCACGCUAGUUGUCAAAAAGGUGUUGUUUGCUUUUGAAUGUAUAUGAUGACUUGAUUACCUAGGAAUUUAAACAUGGUAACUGUUUGCAGAAUAAUAUUUUGUAUAUAGGUACUGUCAUUUCUACGAACAGCCAGUUCCAUUAUACCUGUUGUUCGCCAUCGACGGUGCUGCCAUUUGAGUUUAUGGCUCUGUCCAUGGAGGCUUCCUAGAAGUUUCUCUGUUUCCAUGUAUGGUGUUCCAUGACAGAGGCCGUGACACGUGAUGUUCCUUGGUUAGGAUUGGUUUACUUUGGAUCUCAUAGUAGGAGGACAGGCACGACGUGCAUUCAGUCUCAGAACCUGAAACUAACCUGACUGAGGUGGCAUUCAGUUUUCAGUGAUUAAUCUCCAUUUAUUUGCUAGUAGUUUCACCUGCUUUUUUGAAUUAAAAAGAACAAAACUUAACUAGUUUGACCACUGUGUGACCGCAAGGCAUAAGGAAGGAAGGGCCACCGUCCGAGGCGACGCGUACAUAUGUACACCCGGGAUUUAGGACAAGACACAACACCCGCUGCGGCGUACGUAGUACACUGAGGACUCCCUCGUCACUGGCAAAGACAAGAAAACUAGCAGCGUCCUUAGCCAGGUCUGAUACAUAUAGAGUCUUAUAUUAUUUGAUUUGAUCAUAGUACAUGUAGCCUCUGCCUAUGUAGUAUGUAACGAACGAGAUGACAAGCAUCAACAUGUAGUAUAUGUGAGUGAGAGGAACACAACUACUCCCUCCGUUCCAAAAUAGAUGACUCAACUUUAUACUAACUUUAGUACAAAAUUGGGUCAUCUAUUUUGGAACAGAGGGAGUACUUCAGUAUGGCUAGCCUAAGUGGUGUGAACUGAAAACCAAUCCUCAACACAUCUGGUUCUUUCUUUUGUGAGAGAUGAUUUCCUCCCGAUUUCUGGAACUCACAACCAUAGUUAUAAUAUAGUGUUUGGUCAUCCUUAGCAGGUAGGUGUAAACAACAUAGACGCUUACAACCAAAGCUAGCCGACGGCGCAUAAGCUACCUGCAAAAGAGAAGCCCUUCUUACAUCCACAACAUCCUAAUUUUUAUUCAGUUCAAUUUCCAAUUUUAGUUCAGUUGAUUCUUAUUUUUAGUUUAGUCAGUUUCUUAUUUUAUUUUCCUUUAAUUUCUAAUUCUUUUUCAGUUCAGUUUCUAAUUUUACUAAAGUUCAAUUUCUAAUUCCAAACAAUUUGUACAAAUUCCCAUCGAGCAGGUGUUCACGGUGAGCGGCUACUGAACUUGUACGGCUGCUGCUUUUGGACUGCCCAGGAAGCACAUCAUUAUAGAAGGCAAAAUCUGUAACCUAUAUAAUUCAUGUUUGUUCUGACCUCUUGUUCCUCUAAAGCAGCCAAAUACCGGUGCACCUAGUAGUUCAAAAUUACACCAGAUGGCCGGUGACCCCCUCUACUAGCUCCUCGGGGAUGUCUUGGUAGUAGCUAGGAUCCCCUACAACAGCCAAAUCCUGGUGCACCCAGCCACCGCUCGUGAUCCCCUCUUCUUCAGCUCCAAUUCGCUGUGCCGCCAGUCUGCAGGAGUAGGGACGUUGUGCCCAUCAACAAAAAGGAAACAAAAGAAAGGAAAUCUUAAAGAUGUCUUUAUCUCCCUCCCAAUGUCGAGGACUAUGGGAAGAUCGUCGGAAGCUGCUGCGUGCACUAGGGUCUGAUUAUAUGUGAGAAAGAAUGAUCUGGCCACUUGUAAUGGUGGUGGUAAUUCGAGCAGCAACCUAAAGAGGUACCACGCUUCCGCCUGGACGAAUGACUUGUGCACCUUUAGCUGGAGAUGUCGAUGCUUUUGUGGUGUUGUUCUCCAUCAAUUUGAAUGAAGAGAAUUGCAUAUGCAUAUUCUUGACCUUA